rnacentral:rRNA from 1 species
UUAAGCGACUAAGCGUACACGGUGGAUGCCCUGGCAGUCAGAGGCGAUGAAGGACGUGCUAAUCUGCGAUAAGCGUCGGUAAGGUGAUAUGAACCGUUAUAACCGGCGAUUUCCGAAUGGGGAAACCCAGUGUGUUUCGACACAUUAUCAUUAACUGAAUCCAUAGGUUAAUGAGGCGAACCGGGGGAACUGAAACAUCUAAGUACCCCGAGGAAAAGAAAUCAACCGAGAUUCCCCCAGUAGCGGCGAGCGAACGGGGAGCAGCCCAGAGCCUGAAUCAGUGUGUGUGUUAGUGGAAGCGUCUGGAAAGGCGCGCGAUACAGGGUGACAGCCCCGUACACAAAAAUGCACAUGCUGUGAGCUCGAUGAGUAGGGCGGGACACGUGGUAUCCUGUCUGAAUAUGGGGGGACCAUCCUCCAAGGCUAAAUACUCCUGACUGACCGAUAGUGAACCAGUACCGUGAGGGAAAGGCGAAAAGAACCCCGGCGAGGGGAGUGAAAAAGAACCUGAAACCGUGUACGUACAAGCAGUGGGAGCACGCUUAGGCGUGUGACUGCGUACCUUUUGUAUAAUGGGUCAGCGACUUAUAUUCUGUAGCAAGGUUAACCGAAUAGGGGAGCCGAAGGGAAACCGAGUCUUAACUGGGCGUUAAGUUGCAGGGUAUAGACCCGAAACCCGGUGAUCUAGCCAUGGGCAGGUUGAAGGUUGGGUAACACUAACUGGAGGACCGAACCGACUAAUGUUGAAAAAUUAGCGGAUGACUUGUGGCUGGGGGUGAAAGGCCAAUCAAACCGGGAGAUAGCUGGUUCUCCCCGAAAGCUAUUUAGGUAGCGCCUCGUGAAUUCAUCUCCGGGGGUAGAGCACUGUUUCGGCAAGGGGGUCAUCCCGACUUACCAACCCGAUGCAAACUGCGAAUACCGGAGAAUGUUAUCACGGGAGACACACGGCGGGUGCUAACGUCCGUCGUGAAGAGGGAAACAACCCAGACCGCCAGCUAAGGUCCCAAAGUCAUGGUUAAGUGGGAAACGAUGUGGGAAGGCCCAGACAGCCAGGAUGUUGGCUUAGAAGCAGCCAUCAUUUAAAGAAAGCGUAAUAGCUCACUGGUCGAGUCGGCCUGCGCGGAAGAUGUAACGGGGCUAAACCAUGCACCGAAGCUGCGGCAGCGACGCUGAUGCGUUGUUGGGUAGGGGAGCGUUCUGUAAGCCUGCGAAGGUGUGCUGUGAGGCAUGCUGGAGGUAUCAGAAGUGCGAAUGCUGACAUAAGUAACGAUAAAGCGGGUGAAAAGCCCGCUCGCCGGAAGACCAAGGGUUCCUGUCCAACGUUAAUCGGGGCAGGGUGAGUCGACCCCUAAGGCGAGGCCGAAAGGCGUAGUCGAUGGGAAACAGGUUAAUAUUCCUGUACUUGGUGUUACUGCGAAGGGGGGACGGAGAAGGCUAUGUUGGCCGGGCGACGGUUGUCCCGGUUUAAGCGUGUAGGCUGGUUUUCCAGGCAAAUCCGGAAAAUCAAGGCUGAGGCGUGAUGACGAGGCACUACGGUGCUGAAGCAACAAAUGCCCUGCUUCCAGGAAAAGCCUCUAAGCAUCAGGUAACAUCAAAUCGUACCCCAAACCGACACAGGUGGUCAGGUAGAGAAUACCAAGGCGCUUGAGAGAACUCGGGUGAAGGAACUAGGCAAAAUGGUGCCGUAACUUCGGGAGAAGGCACGCUGAUAUGUAGGUGAAGUCCCUUGCGGAUGGAGCUGAAAUCAGUCGAAGAUACCAGCUGGCUGCAACUGUUUAUUAAAAACACAGCACUGUGCAAACACGAAAGUGGACGUAUACGGUGUGACGCCUGCCCGGUGCCGGAAGGUUAAUUGAUGGGGUUAGCCGCAAGGCGAAGCUCUUGAUCGAAGCCCCGGUAAACGGCGGCCGUAACUAUAACGGUCCUAAGGUAGCGAAAUUCCUUGUCGGGUAAGUUCCGACCUGCACGAAUGGCGUAAUGAUGGCCAGGCUGUCUCCACCCGAGACUCAGUGAAAUUGAACUCGCUGUGAAGAUGCAGUGUACCCGCGGCAAGACGGAAAGACCCCGUGAACCUUUACUAUAGCUUGACACUGAACAUUGAGCCUUGAUGUGUAGGAUAGGUGGGAGGCUUUGAAGUGUGGACGCCAGUCUGCAUGGAGCCGACCUUGAAAUACCACCCUUUAAUGUUUGAUGUUCUAACGUUGACCCGUAAUCCGGGUUGCGGACAGUGUCUGGUGGGUAGUUUGACUGGGGCGGUCUCCUCCUAAAGAGUAACGGAGGAGCACGAAGGUUGGCUAAUCCUGGUCGGACAUCAGGAGGUUAGUGCAAUGGCAUAAGCCAGCUUGACUGCGAGCGUGACGGCGCGAGCAGGUGCGAAAGCAGGUCAUAGUGAUCCGGUGGUUCUGAAUGGAAGGGCCAUCGCUCAACGGAUAAAAGGUACUCCGGGGAUAACAGGCUGAUACCGCCCAAGAGUUCAUAUCGACGGCGGUGUUUGGCACCUCGAUGUCGGCUCAUCACAUCCUGGGGCUGAAGUAGGUCCCAAGGGUAUGGCUGUUCGCCAUUUAAAGUGGUACGCGAGCUGGGUUUAGAACGUCGUGAGACAGUUCGGUCCCUAUCUGCCGUGGGCGCUGGAGAACUGAGGGGGGCUGCUCCUAGUACGAGAGGACCGGAGUGGACGCAUCACUGGUGUUCGGGUUGUCAUGCCAAUGGCACUGCCCGGUAGCUAAAUGCGGAAGAGAUAAGUGCUGAAAGCAUCUAAGCACGAAACUUGCCCCGAGAUGAGUUCUCCCUGACUCCUUGAGAGUCCUGAAGGAACGUUGAAGACGACGACGUUGAUAGGCCGGGUGUGUAAGCGCAGCGAUGCGUUGAGCUAACCGGUACUAAUGAACCGUGAGGCUUAACCUU